rnacentral:rRNA from 1 species
UACGUAGGUGGCAAGCGUUGUCCGGAAUUAUUGGGCGUAAAGCGCGCGCAGGCGGUCCUUUAAGUCUGAUGUGAAAGCCCACGGCUCAACCGUGGAGGGUCAUUGGAAACUGGGGGACUUGAGUGCAGGAGAGAAGAGUGGAAUUCCACGUGUAGCGGUGAAAUGCGUAGAGAUGUGGAGGAACACCAGUGGCGAAGGCGACUUCUGGUCUGUAACUGACGCUGAGGCGCGAAAGCGUGGGGAGCAAACAGG